rnacentral:rRNA from 1 species
AACACAUGCAAGUCGAACGGUAACAGGAAGCAUCUUGCUGCUUCGCUGACGAGUGGCGGACGGGUGAGUAAUGUCUGGGAAACUGCCUGAUGGAGGGGGAUAACUACUGGAAACGGUAGCUAAUACCGCAUAAUGUCGCAAGACCAAAGAGGGGGACCUUCGGGCCUCUUGCCAUCGGAUGUGCCCAGAUGGGAUUAGCUUGUUGGUGGGGUAACGGCUCACCAAGGCGACGAUCCCUAGCUGGUCUGAGAGGAUGACCAGCCACACUGGAACUGAGACACGGUCCAGACUCCUACGGGAGGCAGCAGUGGGGAAUAUUGCACAAUGGGCGCAAGCCUGAUGCAGCCAUGCCGCGUGUAUGAAGAAGGCCUUCGGGUUGUAAAGUACUUUCAGCGGGGAGGAAGGGAGUAAAGUUAAUACCUUUGCUCAUUGACGUUACCCGCAGAAGAAGCACCGGCUAACUCCGUGCCAGCAGCCGCGGUAAUACGGAGGGUGCAAGCGUUAAUCGGAAUUACUGGGCGUAAAGCGCACGCAGGCGGUUUGUUAAGUCAGAUGUGAAAUCCCCGGGCUCAACCUGGGAACUGCAUCUGAUACUGGCAAGCUUGAGUCUCGUAGAGGGGGGUAGAAUCCCAGGUGUAGCGGUGAAAUGCAUAGAGAUCUGGAGGAAUACCGGUGGCGAAGGCGGCCCCCUGGACGAAGACUGACGCUCAGGUGCGAAAGCGUGGGGAGCAAACAGGAUUAGAUACCCUGGUAGUCCACGCCGUAAACGAUGUCGACUUGGAGGUUGUGCCCUUGAGGCGUGGCUUCCGGAGCUAACGCGUUAAGUCGACCGCCUGGGGAGUACGGCCGCAAGGUUAAAACUCAAAUGAAUUGACGGGGGCCCGCACAAGCGGUGGAGCAUGUGGUUUAAUUCGAUGCAACGCGAAGAACCUUACCUGGUCUUGACAUCCACGGAAGUUUUCAGAGAUGAGAAUGUGCCUUCGGGAACCGUGAGACAGGUGCUGCAUGGCUGUCGUCAGCUCGUGUUGUGAAAUGUUGGGUUAAGUCCCGCAACGAGCGCAACCCUUAUCCUUUGUUGCCAGCGGUCCGGCCGGGAACUCAAAGGAGACUGCCAGUGAUAAACUGGAGGAAGGUGGGGAUGACGUCAAGUCAUCAUGGCCCUUACGACCAGGGCUACACACGUGCUACAAUGGCGCAUACAAAGAGAAGCGACCUCGCGAGAGCAAGCGGACCUCAUAAAGUGCGUCGUAGUCCGGAUUGGAGUCUGCAACUCGACUCCAUGAAGUCGGAAUCGCUAGUAAUCGUGGAUCAGAAUGCCACGGUGAAUACGUUCCCGGGCCUUGUACACACCGCCCGUCACACCAUGGGAGUGGGUUGCAAAAGAAGUAGGUAGCUUAACCUUCGGGAGGGCGCUUACCACUUUGUGAUUCAUGACUGGGGUG